rnacentral:rRNA from 1 species
UACAGAGGGGGCAAGCGUUGUUCGGAAUUACUGGGCGUAAAGGGCGCGUAGGCGGCCUGCUAAGUCGAACGUGAAAUCCCCGGGCUCAACCCGGGAACUGCGUCCGAUACUGGCAGGCUUGAAUCCGGGAGAGGGAUGCGGAAUUCCAGGUGUAGCGGUGAAAUGCGUAGAUAUCUGGAGGAACACCGGUGGCGAAGGCGGCAUUCUGGACCGAUAUUGACGCUGAGGAGCGAAAGCCAGGGGAGCAAACGGG